GCCUCGGGUAGGUGCAAAUAACCCUUGAUCCGAGGAUUUCCGAAUGGGACAACCCGGCCGUCUGAAGGACGGUCACUAUGCAAUGGCAUAGGGCAAACGCAGGGAACUGAAACAUCUUAGUACCUGCAGGAAGAGAAAAUAAGUUAAUGAUUCCCCCAGUAGUGGCGAGCGAACGGGGAAGAGCCCAAACCAUGAUUGUAGCAAUGCAACCAUGGGGUUGUAGGACCACGCUGUAGCACGAUAGUUGUGAGAAGAACGUUCUGGAAAGAACGGCCAUAGACGGUGAUAGCCCGGUAAUCGAAGCAAGUUGAAGCUUAGUGGUAUCCUGAGUAACGCGGAACACGAGAAAUUCUGCGCGAAUCUGCCGGGACCAUCCGGUAAGGCUAAAUACUCCCGUGAGACCGAUAGCGAACGAGUACCGUGAGGGAAAGGUGAAAAGAACCCCGAGCAGGGGAGUGAAAGAGAUCCUGAACCCUUGCGCCUACAAGCGGUCGGAGCUGCUUAAUGCAGUGACGGCGUGCCUUUUGCAUAAUGAACCUACGAGUUACCAUCACAGGCAAGGUUAAGUCUCAUGAGGGACGCAACCGCAGUGAAAGCGAGGCUGAACAGGCCGUCGAGUCUGUGGGGGUAGACGCGAAACCAAGUGAUCUACACUUGUCCAGGUUGAAGUCCCGGUAACACGGGAUGGAGGACCGAACCAAUAAGCGUUGAAAAGCUUCUGGAUGAGAUGAGUGUAGGAGUGAAAGGCCAAUCAAACUUGGAGAUAGCUCGUACUCCCCGAAAGGCAUUUAGGUGCCGCGUCGGACGUUCAGCGUGAGAGGUAGAGCGACCGAUAGGACAAGAGGGCUUCACCGCCUAUCGAGUCCUGACGAACUCCGAAUGCUCACGCUCCGCAGUCCGGCAGUAAGGGGACGGGUGCUAAGGUCCGUUCCCGAGAGGAGAAGAAUCCAGACCGCCGUCUAAGGUCCCGGAAUUCUGUCUAAGUUAGUCUAACGAAGUGGGGUCUCAGUGACAGCCAGGAUGUUGGCUUGGAAGCAGCCAUUCAUUCAAAGAGUGCGUAACAGCUCACUGGUCGAGAGUCCCUGCAUGGAUAAUAAUCGGGUAUAAGACAGAUACCGAAGGCGCGGGAUAGCAGAGAAAUGAAAAGUAUCGGUAGGGGAGCAUUCCAUAUCCGUCGAAUGGUGCGGGUAACUGAUCCUGGAGGAUAUGGAAAAGCAAAUGUAGGUAUAAGUAACGAUAAGGAGGGUAAGAUUCCCUCCCGCCGCAAGACUAAGGUUUCCCGGGCAAUGUCAAUCAUCCCGGGGUCAGUCGGGUCCUAAGUCUCAGCCGAACGGCGAGGGCGAUGGCAGACACGGUCAACAUUCCGUGACUACCUUUAGGAGCGAUGCGGAGACGGAGCAGUGACACUUCCGCGAACCGACGGAAUGGUUCGUUGAAGAGUGUAGACGUAGAUCACGGUAGGCAAAUCCGCCGUGAGAGUCGAACUUGAAAGUACAGGGUCCUCUUCGGAGGAACUUGAUAGCGAAGGUAAGCAUACUCCCGAGAAAAUCCGCUAAGCAAUCCUAAAGGUACCCGUACCGCAAACGGACACACGUAGUCGGGUAGAACAUACUAAGGCGUUGAGAGAUUCAUGGUUAAGGAACUAGGCAAACUGACCCCGUAACUUCGGGAUAAGGGGUCCUCGUGAUGAGCGAGGCGCAGAGAAUAGGUCCAGGCAACUGUUUAACAAAAACACAGGGCUGUGCGAACUCGAAAGAUGAAGUAUACAGCCUGACACCUGCCCGGUGCCGGAAGGUUAAGAGGAGAUGUCAACCUUUGUGGCGAAGCAUUGAAUUGAAGCCCCGGUAAACGGCGGCCGUAACUAUAACGGUCCUAAGGUAGCGAAAUUCCUUGUCGGGUAAGUUC
rnacentral:rRNA from 1 species